AUUGAACGCUGGCGGCAUGCCUUACACAUGCAAGUCGAACGGCAGCACGGGAGCAAUUCUGGUGGCGAGUGGCGAACGGGUGAGUAAUGUAUCGGAACGUGCCCAGUCGUGGGGGAUAACGCAGCGAAAGCUGUGCUAAUACCGCAUACGAUCUAAGGAUGAAAGCGGGGGAUCGCAAGACCUCGCGCGAUUGGAGUGGCCGAUAUCAGAUUAGCUAGUUGGGGGGGUAAAGGGUCACCAAGGCGACGAUCUGUAGCUGGUCUGAGAGGACGACCAGCCACACUGGAACUGAGACACGGUCCAGCCUCCUACGGGAGGCAGCAGUGGGGAAUUUUGGACAAUGGGCGCAAGCCUGAUCCAGCAAUGCCGCGUGCAGGAUGAAGGCCUUCGGGUUGUAAACUGCUUUUGUACGGAGCGAAAAGGUUCUCUCUAAUACAGGGGGCUCAUGACGGUACCGUAAGAAUAAGCACCGGCUAACUACGUGCCAGCCGCCGCAGUAACAC
rnacentral:rRNA from 1 species